GGCUUCCAGCCGGAAGAGGCGGUGCGGCAGUACCUGCGCGCUCCCGCCUUCUGCUGCUGCUAACAUUGGCGGGAACCUGACAGGUUGGCGGGAACUGAGCGGGAUGGCGAUGGCUUCGCGUCGGGGGGCACUCAUCGUGCUGGAGGGCGUGGACCGUGCUGGCAAGACCACGCAGGGCCACCGGCUGGUGACCGCGCUGUGCGCCUCGGGCCACCGAGCCGAGCUGCUGCGUUUCCCUGAAAGAUCAACAGAAAUCGGCAAGCUCCUGAAUUCCUACUUAGAAAAGAAAACAGAACUGGAAGACCACUCAGUGCACCUGCUUUUUUCUGCGAACCGCUGGGAACAAGUGCCAUUAAUUAAGGCGAAGUUGAACCAAGGUGUGACCCUUGUUUUGGAUCGAUACGCCUUUUCUGGGGUCGCCUUCACUGGCGCCAAGGAGAAUUUUUCCCUGGAUUGGUGCAAACAACCAGACGUGGGCCUUCCCAAGCCCGACCUGAUCCUGUUCCUUCAGUUACAAUUGCUGGACGCUGCGGCACGGGGAGAGUUUGGGCUUGAGCGCUAUGAGACCGGGACUUUCCAGGAGCAGGUUCUGCUGUGUUUCCAGCAGCUCAUGAAGGAUGAAAAGCUGAACUGGAAGUCUUUUUCAUAGGAAUGACUCUUCAUUGUACGGAUUAUACUUACUGUCAGAAGGUGGAGUUUGCCAGUUUCAUGCCAUACUUUGAGAAAUACCUGGACUCCUUCCAUAACCCUCCUGCAGCUUUUUAAAUGUUUGCUGCCAGAGGUCUUAGCCAGACUUACAGAAACAAGGGUCCUGUCCAGACCCCCUCCAGAUGGUGGGACUUGGAGAUGGUGACACUUAUUCAGACCCUCUCUCCUGGUUCGCACCUGGAUCUACCUGUCCUGAAGGAACAGAGCAGCCGUCAGGACAGCUUUCAUCUCCCAAGAGGACAGGAAGCAAACCAGGUUGAUUUUUUUUUUUUUUGGAGACAGGGUCUCUACAUAACCCUGGCUAUCCUGGAAGGAACUAUGAAGUCCUUGAAUUCAGAGAGAUCUGUCUGCCUCUGCCUCCUGAGGGUGGGUCACCAUGCCUGACAUGGAGCCUGUUCUUAUCAACUGGAGGAUAGUUGCUCAGCCUGCUUAGGAGCAAGAUGAGCAGCUAGUGCAUGUUGCUUCCCGUGUCUGGGAUGCGGUAGGUAUGCAAGCUACGGUGUGCCAAGAACACCAGGUUCAAGGAAAGCUGUGGGUGAAGGGUCCCUGAGAUCUAGGUUGGCUCUUGCAGGCCCUGGCUCACUGAGGUCACCACAUGCACUGGGAAAAGGGCAGAGGUGGUGUAAUGUCGCUUUCCUGCUCUCUCCUUGUGG